GUAGGGAAUCUUCCACAAUGGGCGAAAGCCUGAUGGAGCAACGCCGCGUGAGUGAAGAAGGUUUUCGGAUCGUAAAGCUCUGUUGUUGGUGAAGAAGGAUAGAGGUAGUAACUGGCCCCUAUUUGACGGUAAUCAACCAGAAAGUCACGGCUAACUACGUGCCAGCAGCCGCGGUAAUACGUAGGUGGCAAGCGUUGUCCGGAUUUAUUGGGCGUAAAGCGAGCGCAGGCGGAAAGAUAAUGCUGAUGUGAAAGCCCCCGGCUUAACCGAGGAAUUGCAUCGGAAACUGUGUUUCUUGAGUGCAGAAGAGGAGAGUGGAACUCCAUGUGUAGCGGUGGAAUGCGUAGAUAUAUGGAAGAACACCAGUGGCGAAGGCGGCUCUCUGGUCUGUAACUGACGCUGAGGCUCGAAAGCAUGGGUAGCGAACAGG
rnacentral:rRNA from 1 species